rnacentral:rRNA from 1 species
AUUGAACGCUGGCGGCAUGCCUUACACAUGCAAGUCGAACGGCAGCACGGGAGCAAUCCUGGUGGCGAGUGGCGAACGGGUGAGUAAAGUAUCGGAACGUGCCCAGUCGUGGGGGAUAACGUAGCGAAAGUUACGCUAAUACCGCAUACGAUCUAUGGAUGAAAGCGGGGGAUCGCAAGACCUCGCGCGAUUGGAGCGGCCGAUAUCAGAUUAGGUAGUUGGUGGGGUAAAGGCUCACCAAGCCGACGAUCUGUAGCUGGUCUGAGAGGACGACCAGCCACACUGGGACUGAGACACGGCCCAGACUCCUACGGGAGGAAGCAGUGGGGAAUUUUGGACAAUGGGCGAAAGCCUGAUCCAGCCAUGCCGCGUGCAGGAUGAAGGCCUUCGGGUUGUAAACUGCUUUUGUACGGAACGAAAGGGUUUGGCCUAAUAAGCUGAGCUCAUGACGGUACCGUAAGAAUAAGCACCGGCUAACUACGUGCCAGCAGCCGCCGUAA